CUCUGUGAGGGUGAAAGAGUCAGUGCUCUGAGGAGCUGCCCAUGAGACAACACCAAUAAGGCACAUCGAUCUCGGGCACGCACAUCACUCGUAAUCUCCUGCUGUAACUGGCAAACCAAAGUGUAAAAAACGAGGCUGGCAGGGCUGAGCUAGGAGAUUAAAGAAGAAAAAUGUUAAGAGGGACAACUAAGAACAAAUCUUUGCAGCAAAAUGAAAAGAUGGAGAGAGCACUGCCUGUAGCCAGCCCUACAACCAUGGGGCUUCAGCCAAGCAGAGCAGAGGAGUGUUCCAGUGCUGCAGAGAGGUCUCUGGACUUCUCACAGA